GAUGAACGCUGGCGGCGUGCCUAAUACAUGCAAGUCGAGCGAACGGACGAGAAGCUUGCUUCUCUGAUGUUAGCGGCGGACGGGUGAGUAACACGUGGAUAACCUACCUAUAAGACUGGGAUAACUUCGGGAAACCGGAGCUAAUACCGGAUAAUAUUUUGAACCGCAUGGUUCAAAAGUGAAAGACGGUCUUGCUGUCACUUAUAGAUGGAUCCGCGCUGCAUUAGCUAGUUGGUAAGGUAACGGCUUACCAAGGCAACGAUGCAUAGCCGACCUGAGAGGGCGAUCGGCCACACUGGAACUGAGACACGGUCCAGACUCCUACGGGAGGCAGCAGUAGGGAAUCUUCCGCAAUGGGCGAAAGCCUGACGGAGCAACGCCGCGUGAGUGAUGAAGGUCUUCGGAUCGUAAAACUCUGUUAUUAGGGAAGAACAUAUGUGUAAGUAACUGUGCACAUCUUGACGGUACUUAAUCAGAAAGCCACGGCUAACUACGUG
rnacentral:rRNA from 1 species